rnacentral:lncRNA from 1 species
AAUAGAAUCGCAUACACGAGCACCAGGUAGAUCGAAGAAAAUUCAAAGAGGAAAACAAAAAAAAAACACUAAAACGAUCCUUCUAGAAAGCGUUUCCAAAGGCCCUCUGAAAAUUUAGAAGAAACUCGAGUAAGACCGAAUGAGGAAAAGAAUGCUAGAUUAAAAACGAUGCGCUCGGCUGCCAUGAAGAAACGAUCCGAAGAAUCUGAGGGUGAAAGGGUCGCCAGAUUACAAAGAAUGACCUCUAUCACCGUAAUUAAGAGAACGGACAAAUUUCAGGAAGAAAGAGGAAGGCAAAUAUACUCUCAAAAGCAGCAUUUAUGCGCUCAAAAGCACCAUUUAUGCGCGCAAAACCAGCAGGUAUGCGGCUACGUUAAUGGAGUUGUAAGCAAAAUUCUGCAUUUACCAAUAAUCCAUC